UACGUAGGGUGCAAGCGUUUAAUCGGAAUUACUGGGCGUAAAGCGUGCGCAGGCGGUUAUGUAAGACAGAUGUGAAAUGCCCGGGCUUUAACCUGGGAACUGCAUUUGUGACUGCAUGGCUAGAGUUUGGCAGAGGGGGGGUGAGAAUUCCACGUGUAGCAGUGAAAUGCGUAGAUAUUGGGAGGAACACCAGUGGCGAAGGCGGCUCACUGGACCGGUACUGACGCUGAUGCGCGAAAGCGUGGGGAGCAAACGGGG
rnacentral:rRNA from 1 species